UACGUAGGGGGCGAGCGUUGUCCGGAAUUAUUGGGCGUAAAGAGCGUGUAGGCGGUUCGGUAAGUCUGCCGUGAAAACCUGGGGCUCAACCCUGGGCGUGCGGUGGAUACUGCCGGGCUAGAGGGUGGUAGAGGCGAGUGGAAUUCCCGGUGUAGCGGUGAAAUGCGCAGAUAUCGGGAGGAACACCAGUGGCGAAGGCGACUCUUUGGCCUGUAACUGACGCUGAGGCGCGAAAGCGUGGGGAGCAAACAGG
rnacentral:rRNA from 1 species